GAUACGACCGUACCGCAAACCGACACUGGUGCGCGAGAUGAGUAUUCUAAGGCGCUUGAGAGAACUCAGGAGAAGGAACUCGGCAAAUUGACACCGUAACUUCGGAAGAAGGUGUGCCCUAUUAGUGUGUAGUGAACAACGAAGCAUGAAUGGGUUGCAAAAAAUCGGUGGCUGCGACUGUUUAUUAAAAACACAGCACUCUGCAAACACGAAAGUGGACGUAUAGGGUGUGACGCCUGCCCGGUGCUGGAAGAUUAAAUGAUGGGGUGCAAGCUCUUGAUUGAAGUCCCAGUAAACGGCGGCCGUAACAAUAACGGUCCUAAGGUAGCGAAAUUCCUUGUCGGGUAAGUUCCGACCUGCACGAAUGGCGUAACGAUGGCCACACUGUCUCCUCCCGAGACUCAGCGAAGUUGAAAUGUUUGUGAUGAUGCAAUCUCCCCGCGGAAAGACGGAAAGACCCCAUGAACCUUUACUGUAGCUUUGUAUUGGACUUUGAACAGAUCUGUGUAGGAUAGGUGGGAGGCUUUGAAGCAGGGUCGCUAGAUCUUGUGGAGCCAACGUUGAAAUACCACCCUGGUGUGUUUGAGGUUCUAACCUAGGUCCAUUAUCUGGAUCGGGGACAGUGCAUGGUAGGCAGUUUGACUGGGGCGGUCUCCUCCCAAAGCGUAACGGAGGAGUUCGAAGGUACGCUAGUUACGGUCGGACAUCGUGACGAUAGUGCAAUGGCAUAAGCGUGCUUAACUGCGAGACUGACAAGUCGAGCAGAUGCGAAAGCAGGACAUAGUGAUCCGGUGGUUCUGUAUGGAAGGGCCAUCGCUCAACGGGUAAAAGGUACUCUGGGGAUAACAGGCUGAUACCGCCCAAGAGUUCAUAUCGACGGCGGUGUUUGGCACCUCGAUGUCGGCUCAUCUCAUCCUGGGGCUGUAGCCGGUCCCAAGGGUAUGGCUGUUCGCCAUUUAAAGAGGUACGUGAGCUGGGUUUAAAACGUCGUGAGACAGUUUGGUCCCUAUCUUCCGUGGGCGCUGCAGAUUUGAGGAAGCCUGCUCCUAGUACGAGAGGACCGGAGUGGACACACCUCUGGUGUAUCGGUUGUCACGCCAGUGGCAUUGCCGAGUAGCUAAGUGUGGAAGAGAUAACCGCUGAAAGCAUCUAAGCGGGAAACUCGUUUCAAGAUGAGAUCUGCCGGGGCCUUGAGCCCCCUAAAGAGUCGUUCAAGACCAGGACGUUGAUAGGUCAGGUGUGGAAACAAAAAU
rnacentral:rRNA from 1 species